CUGCUGCCUUCCGUAGGAGUCUGGGCCGUGUCUCAGUCCCAGUGUGGGGGGCCUUCCUCUCAGAACCCCUACGCAUCGUCGCCACGGUGGGCCGUCACCCCGCCGUCUAGCUAAUGCGCCGCAUGCCCAUCCGCACCGGAUCGCUCCUUUGGCCACCGGAGGAUGCCCUCCGGUGGCGUCACGGGGUAUUAGGCCGCGUUUCCGCGGGUUAUCCCCCUGUGGCGGCCAGGUUGCAUACGUGUUACUCACCCGUGCGCCGGUCGCCGG
rnacentral:rRNA from 1 species